GUGCCAGCCGCCGCGGUAAUACGAAGGGUGCAAACGUUGCUCGGAAUCAUUGGGCGUAAAGCGCACGUAGGCGGCCUUGCAAGUCGGAUGUGAAAUCCCACGGCUCAACCGUGGACGUGCAUCCGAAACUGCUCGGCUCGAGUAUGGAAGAGGGUCGCGGAAUUCCCGGUGUAGAGGUGAAAUUCGUAGAUAUCGGGAGGAACACCAGUGGCGAAGGCGGCGACCUGGGCCAAUACUGACGCUGAGGUGCGAAAGCGUGGGGAGCAAACAGGAUUAGAUACCCUAGUAGUCC
rnacentral:rRNA from 1 species